rnacentral:tRNA from 1 species
GUUAAUGUAGCUUAAACAAAGCAAAGCACUGAAAAUGCUUAGAUGAGUAUUCUACUCCAUAAACA